rnacentral:rRNA from 1 species
CCUACUUUGGUCAUCAGUGAUUCAUAUUUUUCAAUUUUCUUUAGACUUAACCAUCCAAUCCUCGUGAGGGAUUAAGGUACAGAUUAUCUUAAACCUCUUUUGUCAGGGAACAAAGGCGGGGACGUGUCCCCGGAUGAGUGUACCUGAAGAAAAAGCAUCGGCUAACUCCGUGCCAGCAGCCGCGUUAUUACGGGGGAUGCGAGCGUUAUCCGGAUUUAUUGGGUUUACAGGGUACGCAGGCGGUCUGUUAAGUCAGCGGUCAAAGCCCGGGGCUCAACCCCGGCCCGCCGUUGAAACUGGCAGUCUCGAGUAGGAGAGAAGUAGGCGGAAUGCGCGGUGUAGCGGUGAAAUGCAUAGAUAUCGCGCAGAACUCCGAUUGCGAAGGCAGCAUGCCGGCUCCACACUGACGCUGAGGCACGAAAGCGUGGGUAUCGAACAGGAGUAGAUACCCUGGUAGUC